rnacentral:rRNA from 1 species
GAUCCUGGCUUAGGAUGAACGCUAGCUACAGGCUAACACAUGCAAGUCGAGGGGCAGCAUAUCGAAAGCUUGCUUUGAUGACGGCGACCGGCGCACGGGUGAGUAACGCGUAUCCAACCUUCCCUAUACUAGAGGAUAGCCCGGCGAAAGUCGGAUUAAUACUCUAUGUUCUUCGUAGAAGACAUCUGAAAUGAAGCAAAGGUUUACCGGUAUAGGAUGGGGAUGCGUCUGAUUAGGUUGUUGGCGGGGUAACGGCCCACCAAGCCCACGAUCAGUAGGGGUUCUGAGAGGAAGGUCCCCCACAUUGGAACUGAGACGCGGUCCAAACUCCUACGGGAGGCAGCAGUGAGGAAUAUUGGUCAAUGGACGAGAGUCUGAACCAGCCAAGUAGCCGUGCAGGAUGACGGCCCUAUGGGUUGUAAACUGCUUUUAUACAGGGAUAAAGUGACGUACGUGUACGUUUUUGUAGGUACUGUAUGAAUAAGGACCGGCUAAUUCCGUGCCAGCCGCAGC